rnacentral:rRNA from 2 species
AGUCAUAUGCUUGUCUCAAAGAUUAAGCCAUGCAUGUCUCAGUACAAGCCAAAUUAAGGUGAAACCGCGAAAGGCUCAUUAAAUCAGUUAUGGUUCCUUAGAUUGUACCCACACUUACUUGGAUAACUGUGGUAAUUCUAGAGCUAAUACAUGCCAACAGAACUCUGACCGGAGACGGAAGGAGUGCCUUUAUUAGAACAAAACCAAUCGGUGGCAUGGCCCCGGUCAUGUCAUCGUACAAGAUGGUGAAUCUGAAUAACGUUUGCUGAUCGCACGGUCUUGCACCGGCGACGCAUCUUUCAAAUGUCUGCCUUAUCAACUUUCGAUGGUAGGUUCUGCGCCUACCAUGGUUGUAACGGGUAACGGGGAAUCAGGGUUCGAUUCCGGAGAGGGAGCCUGAGAAACGGCUACCACAUCCAAGGAAGGCAGCAGGCGCGCAAAUUACCCACUCCCGGCACGGGGAGGUAGUGACGAAAAAUAACGAUACGGGACUCAUCCGAGGCCCCGUAAUCGGAAUGAGCACACUUUAAAUCCUUUCACGAGGAUCAAUCGGAGGGCAAGUCAGGUGCCAGCAGCCGCGGUAAUUCCUGCUCCGAUAGCGUAU